rnacentral:rRNA from 1 species
AGCGAACGCUGGCGGCAGGCUUAACACAUGCAAGUCGAACGGGCAUAGCAAUAUGUCAGUGGCAGACGGGUGAGUAACGCGUGGGAACGUACCUUUUGGUUCGGAACAACACAGGGAAACUUGUGCUAAUACCGGAUAAGCCCUUACGGGGAAAGAUUUAUCGCCGAAAGAUCGGCCCGCGUCUGAUUAGCUAGUUGGUAGGGUAAUGGCCUACCAAGGCGACGAUCAGUAGCUGGUCUGAGAGGAUGAUCAGCCACAUUGGGACUGAGACACGGCCCAAACUCCUACGGGAGGCAGCGGUGGGGGAUAUUGGACAAUGGGCGAGAGCCUGAUCCAGCCAUGCCGGGGGAGUGAUGAAGGCCCUAGGGUUGUAAAGCUCUUUUGUGCGGGAAGAUAAUGACGGUACCGCAAGAAUAAGCCCCGGCUAACUUCGUG